GGGAACCUGGGAUGGGGUGGCAUGGGAGUGGCAGUGAUGAAAGGUGUUAGGGAGCUCCAGUAACCUGGCAGCCACCGCUGCCUGGGACGAUGGCCUACAGGCUCCCUGCUUCUGUGGAGACCUACAAGUCUGGGGCAGCCGGAGCCAGGGGUGUAGAAAGCUGAAAACGAACAGGACACAGGACCCUCCAGAUGGCUCUUUUGGGGAAGGUUGAAGGGGAAGGAGAGGACUUCCUUGUAAGGAACAAGGACAAUGGUGGACUGGCCACUGUGCCUAUGCUCUGGCACUCCGUCGCUCACAGUCCUAGUAAGCUCUUGAGACCGGAGCAGCAGCAGAGCGUGUCUUCCCGUGGUACCUGCUCCUUGCCUGUCACCAUGACCUUUGGACAGGCAGGAGACUUCCUAGGAAGGAAAGCAAAGGCCUUUAGAACCUUCUCUGAAUUGUUCCCCAAGAAGAGUGACAGGUCUUCCUAUUGUCACCUUCUGCUUUCUGCUUUUAGGCAGAAGGGGCUGUUGAGCCCCACGUACAUUGGCCAGCUUCCCACUCACCAACUGGUUGGAACAAGUCACUUUGUAAUAAUUAUCCCAUGAUGUCUGAGAAGUCUGUCAGUGUGCCGGUCACAUGCUUUCCAAAGGACUUAAAACUUUAGGAACUGGUUGGACACCUCACCCACCCACCUUCAGUGCACUGUCCUAGGCAUACCUUUAUCCCCACUCCUGGAAUAUUUUCCAUGGUCCACUCCCGCCCCAGACUUAUCCCCCCAUAGCUGGACUUACAUCUCUUAAAAUUGUUUCCAAAUAU
rnacentral:lncRNA from 1 species